AACGAACGCUGGCGGCAGGCUUAACACAUGCAAGUCGAGCGCAUCCUUCGGGGUGAGCGGCAGACGGGGGAGUAACGCGUGGGAAUCUACCUUUUGCUACGGUAUAGCUCCGGGAAACAGGAAUUAAUACCGCAUGUGCUCUUAGGGGGUAAGAUGUAUCGGCAAGGGAUGAGCCCGCGUUGGAUUAGCCAGUUGGUGGGGUAAAGGCCUACCAAGGCGACGAUCCAUAGCUGGUCUGAGAGGAGGAUCAGCCACAUUGGAACUGAGACACGGCCCAAUCUCCUACGGGAGGCAGCAGUGGGGAAUAUUAGACGAGGGACGCAAGCCUGGUCCAGCCAUGCCGCGUGAGUGAUGAAGGCCUUAGGGUUGUAAAGCUCUUUCACCGGAGAAGAUAAUGACGGUAUCCGGAGAAGAAGCCCCGGCUAACUUCGUG
rnacentral:rRNA from 1 species